AUUGAACGCUGGCGGCAUGCUUUACACAUGCAAGUCGAACGGUAACAGGCCUUCGGGUGCUGACGAGUGGCGAACGGGUGCGUAAUGCAUCGGAACGUGCCCAGAGGUGGGGGAUAACGCAGCGCAAGCUGUGCUAAUACCUCAUGUGAUCUGAGGAUGAAAGCGGGGGACCACGCAGCAAUGUUUGGCCUCGCGCCUCUGGAGCGGCCGAUGUCAGAUUAGGUAGUUGGUGGGGUAAAGGCCUACCAAGCCGACGAUCUGUAGCUGGUCUGAGAGGACGACCAGCCACACUGGGACUGAGACACGGCCCAGACUCCUACGGGAGGCAGCAGUGGGGAAUUUUGGACAAUGGGCGAAAGCCUGAUCCAGCAAUGCCGCGUGAGGGAAGAAGGCCUUCGGGUUGUAAACCGCUUUUGUACGGAACGAAAAGGCUCUGGCUAAUACCUGGGGCUGAUGACGGUACCGUAAGAAUAAGCACCGGCUAACUACGUG
rnacentral:rRNA from 1 species